GGCUUGGUGGUGGACGGUCCACACCUGUUUCUUGUGUAAUACUCGUUUCUGUGCAAGCAGGAGAUGCCCGUUCGAUUCGGGUCCGAGCCA